AGAGUGAACGCUGGCGGCAGGCCUAAUACAUGCAAGUCGAACGGCAGCACGGCAGAGCUUGCUCUGUGGGUGGCGAGUGGCGGACGGGUGAGGAAUACAUGGGAAUCUGCCCAGUCGUGGGGGAUAACGUAUGGAAACGUACGCUAAUACCGCAUGCGCCCUUCGGGGGAAAGCCGGGGACCUUCGGGCCUGGCGCGAUUGGAUGAGCCCAUGUCGGAUUAGCUAGUUGGCGGGGUAACGCCCACCAAGGCGACGAUCCGUAGCUGGUCUGAGAGGAUGAUCAGCCACACUGGAACUGAGACACGGU
rnacentral:rRNA from 1 species